rnacentral:rRNA from 1 species
ACACAUGCAAGUCGAACGGAGUGUUGCGCUGAAAUUGAGAUUAGCUUGCUAAAGGAUAUUUCUUGUGACACUUAGUGGCGGACGGGUGAGUAACGCGUGAGGAACCUGCCUUACAGAGGGGGACAACAGUUGGAAACGACUGCUAAUACCGCAUGAUGUGGAGGGGAGACAUCUCCCUUUCACCAAAGGAGCAAUCCGCUGUAAGAUGGCCUCGCGUCUGAUUAGAUAGUUGGUGGGGUAACGGCCUACCAAGUCGACGAUCAGUAGCCGGACUGAGAGGUUGAACGGCCACAUUGGGACUGAGACACGGCCCAGACUCCUACGGGAGGCAGCAGUGGGGGAUAUUGCACAAUGGAGGAAACUCUGAUGCAGCAACGCCGCGUGAGGGAAGAAGGUUUUCGGAUUGUAAACCUCUGUUUUUAGUGAAGAAACAAAUGACGGUAGCUAAAGAGGAAGCCACGGCUAACUACGUGCCAGCAGCCGCGGUAAUACGUAGGUGGCAAGCGUUGUCCGGAAUUACUGGGUGUAAAGGGUGCGCAGGCGGGAUUGCAAGUUGGAUGUGAAAUACCGGGGCUUAACCCCGGAGCUGCAUCCAAAACUGUAGUUCUUGAGUGGAGUAGAGGUAAGCGGAAUUCCGAGUGUAGCGGUGAAAUGCGUAGAUAUUCGGAGGAACACCAGUGGCGAAGGCGGCUUACUGGGCUCUAACUGACGCUGAGGCACGAAAGCAUGGGUAGCAAACAGGAUUAGAUACCCUGGUAGUCCAUGCUGUAAACGAUGAAUGCUAGGUGUGGGGGGACUGACCCCUUCCGUGCCGGAGUAAACACAAUAAGCAUUCCACCUGGGGAGUACGACCGCA